AGAGUUUGAUCCUGGCUCAGGAUGAACGCUAGCGGCAGGCNUAACACAUGCAAGUCGAGGGGCAUCGCGGUGCAGCAAUGCACUGGCGGCGACCGGCGUACGGGUGCGUAACGCGUAUGCAACCUGCCCCGCACCGGGGGAUAGCCCGCCGAGAGGCGGAUUAAUACCCCAUGGUCCCGGGGGCCCGCAUGGGCAUCCGGGUAAAGCCUUGGCGGUGCGGGAUGGGCAUGCGUGCCAUUAGCUGGCUGGUGGGGUAACGGCCCACCAGGGCAACGAUGGCUAGGGGGUCUGAGAGGAUGGUCCCCCACACUGGUACUGAGACACGGACCAGACUCCUACGGGAGGCAGCAGUGAGGAAUAUUGGUCAAUGGGCGGAAGCCUGAACCAGCCAUGCCGCGUGCGGGAUGAAGGCCCUACGGGUUGUAAACCGCUUUUCCCCGGGAAGAAUAACCCCGAUGAGUCGGGGGAUGCCGGUACCGGGGGAAUAAGGAUCGGCUAACUCCGUGCCAGCAGCCGCGGUAAUACGGAGGAUCCGAGCGUUAUCCGGAUUUACUGGGUUUAAAGGGUGCGUAGGCGGCCCUGCAAGUCAGCGGUGAAAUGUGGCGGCUCAACCGUUUCGCUGCCGCUGAUACUGUAGGGCUUGGAUGCGGUCGAGGCGGGUGGAAUUCGUGGUGUAGCGGUGAAAUGCAUAGAUAUCACGAGGAACGCCGAUAGCGAAGGCAGCUCGCCGGGCCGCGAUCGACGCUGAGGCACGAAAGCGUGGGGAUCAAACAGGAUUAGAUACCCUGGUAGUCCACGCCGUAAACGAUGAUGGCUGGGCGUGCGCCCGCGAGGGCGCGUGCCUGAGGGAAACCAUUAAGCCAUCCACCUGGGGAGUACGGCCGCAAGGCUGAAACUCAAAGGAAUUGACGG
rnacentral:rRNA from 1 species